rnacentral:misc_RNA from 1 species
GGAGAAGAAGAAGAUUAACACAAAAUUGUAGGCUGGAUUCUAUUUUCUGCCGAGGACAUCUUCCUAAGUGAGCCCAAUGAAAGUAUUGCGAAACAAGAACCCAUAUACAGUGAGGUUGUUAAUAUCUCACACAAGAACAUAAAAGGUAAGCAAAACAUUCUCUUGGUAUUCCCCAAGAGAAAUAACUAAUAGAUUACUACAAGAUUUGGCAUAGCUUUAAGCAACACACGGCAUGCAUCUACCACGUAUACCAUGUCCUAACAAGCAAAAUAGAUGCACUGAUGCAGU